UGGGGAAUAUUGGACAAUGGGCGCAAGCCUGAUCCAGCAAUGCCGCGUGUGUGAAGAAGGUCUUCGGAUUGUAAAGCACUUUCGGCGGGGACGAUGAUGACGGUACCCGCAGAAGAAGCCCCGGCUAACUUCGUGCCAGCAGCCGCGGUAAUACGAAGGGGGCUAGCGUUGCUCGGAAUGACUGGGCGUAAAGGGCGCGUAGGCGGGUUCUACAGUCAGAUGUGAAAUUCCCGGGCUCAACCUGGGGGCUGCAUUUGAGACGUAGGGUCUUGAGUGGGGAAGAGGGUCGUGGAAUUCCCAGUGUAGAGGUGAAAUUCGUAGAUAUUGGGAAGAACACCGGUGGCGAAGGCGGCGACCUGGUCCUUUUACUGACGCUGAGGCGCGAAAGCGUGGGGAGCAAACAG
rnacentral:rRNA from 1 species